UGUCAAACGUCCACUUAAUCCAACGGCGAAUGUGAACUUCACAUUCAAUUGACGAGUCAAAAUCUGCCGCGUAGCCAAGUAUUGUCACUGUGACCGUAGAUGAUGGGCCUGCAACGAGGAAAGCUGUAAAUGAGAGUGAUUUCGAACGCUCUAAAUCAUCAUUUGGUAAUUUGCAGCAGUAAGCUUUUUCAGGGAAAGGUAUCAAAAGCGGUCACCAAAAGUGGAAAAAUGGCAGAAUCUGAGGUGAAAUCACAAACAGAAAUGGUUCAAGAUAACGAUAAAAAACUCGA
rnacentral:misc_RNA from 1 species